rnacentral:rRNA from 1 species
UACAGAGGUGGCAAGCGUUGUUCGGAAUUACUGGGCGUAAAGGGCGCGUAGGCGGUCUUGUAAGUCUCGUGUGAAAUCCCUCGGCUUAACUGAGGAACUGCACGGGAUACUGCUUGACUUGAGUUCGGGAGAGGGAAGCGGAAUUCCGGGUGUAGCGGUGAAAUGCGUAGAUAUCAGGAGGAACACCGAUGGCGAAGGCAGGUCUCUGGGUCCCUACCGACGCUGGGGUGCGAAAGCAUGGGGAGCGAACAGG